rnacentral:rRNA from 1 species
UACAGAGGUCUCGAGCGUUAGGCGGAAUCACUGGGCUUAAAGCGUGUGUAGGUGGAUCGUUAAGUACCUUGUGAAAUCCCACGGCUUAACCGUGGAACUGCUUGGUAUACUGGCGGUCUUGAGCCAGCUAGGGGCUACCGGAACAAAUGGUGGAGCGGUGAAAUGCGUAGAUAUCUGGAGGAACAUCGGUGGCGAAGGCGGCAUCCUGGACCGGCAUUGACGCGUGAGG